rnacentral:rRNA from 1 species
GACGAACGCUGGCGGCGUGCUUAACACAUGCAAGUCGAACGGAAAGGCCCUGCUUUUGUGGGGUGCUCGAGUGGCGAACGGGUGAGUAACACGUGAGUAACCUGCCCUUGACUUUGGGAUAACUUCAGGAAACUGGGGCUAAUACCGGAUAGGAGCUCCUGCUGCAUGGUGGGGGUUGGAAAGUUUCGGCGGUUGGGGAUGGACUCGCGGCUUAUCAGCUUGUUGGUGGGGUAGUGGCUUACCAAGGCUUUGACGGGUAGCCGGCCUGAGAGGGUGACCGGCCACAUGGGGACUGAGAUAGGGCCCAGUCUCCUACGGGAGGCAGCAGUGGGGAAUAUUGCACAAUGGGCGGAAGCCUGAUGCAGAAACGCCGCGUGCGGGAUGACGGCCUUCGGGUUGUAAACCGCUUGCGCCUGUGACGAAGCGUGAGUGACGGUAAUGGGUAAAGAAGCACCGGCUAACUACGUG